CGUAGGAGGCAAGCGUUGUCCGGAGUUACUGGGCGUAAAGCGCGCGCAGGCGGCCCUGUGCGCUGCCGGUGAAAGCUCCCGGCUCACCUGGGAGAGGUUCGGCAGGACGGCAGGGCUUGAGGGCGGUAGAGGGUGGUGGAAUUCCCGGUGUAGUGGUGAAAUGCGUAGAGAUCGGGAGGGACACCCGUAGCGAAGGCGGCCACCUGGGCCGACCCUGACGCUGAGGCGCGAAGGCCAGGGGAGCGAACGGGAUUAGAUACCCCGGUAGUCCUGGCAGUAAACGAUGUCGACUGGUCGUCGGGGGGCUCGACCCCCUCGGCGGCGGAGCUAACGCGGGAAGUCGACCGCCUGGGGAGUACGGCCGCAAGGCUA
rnacentral:rRNA from 1 species